rnacentral:rRNA from 1 species
GACGAACGCUGGCGGCGUGCUUAACACAUGCAAGUCGAACGGAAAGGCCCUGCUUUUGUGGGGUGCUCGAGUGGCGAACGGGUGAGUAACACGUGAGUAACCUGCCCUUGACUUUGGGAUAACUUCAGGAAACUGGGGCUAAUACCGGAUAGGAGCUCCUGCUGCAUGGUGGGGGUUGGAAAGUUUCGGCGGUUGGGGAUGGACUCGCGGCUUAUCAGCUUGUUGGUGGGGUAGUGGCUUACCAAGGCUUUGACGGGUAGCCGGCCUGAGAGGGUGACCGGCCACAUUGGGACUGAGAAACGGCCGAGACCCCUGGGGGGGGCAGCGGGGGGGAAUUGUGCAAAAGGGGCGGAAGCCUGAGGCAGCAACGCCGGGUGCGGGAUGAGGGCUUUCGGGUUGAAACCCGUUUUCGCCGGGGAAGAAGGGUGAGUGACGGUAGGGGGUAAAGAACCACGGGCUAACUACGUC